GAUGAACGCUGGCGGCGUGCUUAACACAUGCAAGUCGAACGAUGAAGCCCAGCUUGCUGGGUGGAUUAGUGGCGAACGGGUGAGUAACACGUGAGUAACCUGCCCUUGACUCUGGGAUAAGCCCGGGAAACUGGGUCUAAUACCGGAUAGGAGCGCCUGUCGCAUGACGGGUGUUGGAAAGAUUUUUCGGUCAUGGAUGGACUCGCGGCCUAUCAGCUUGUUGGUGAGGUAAUGGCUCACCAAGGCGACGACGGGUAGCCGGCCUGAGAGGGCGACCGGCCACACUGGGACUGGGACACGGCCCAGACUCCUACGGGAGGCAGCAGUGGGGAAUAUUGCACAAUGGGCGGAAGCCUGAUGCAGCGACGCCGCGUGAGGGAUGACGGCCUUCGGGUUGUAAACCUCUUUCAGUAGGGAAGAAAGCGA
rnacentral:rRNA from 1 species